AGAACGCUGAAGCUUGGUGCUUGCACCGAGCGGAUGAGUUGCGAACGGGUGAGUAACGCGUAGGUAACCUGCCUCUUAGCGGGGGAUAACUAUUGGAAACGAUAGCUAAUACCGCAUAAAAGUCGACAUUGCAUGAUGUUGACUUGAAAGGUGCAAUUGCAUCACUAAGAGAUGGACCUGCGUUGUAUUAGCUAGUUGGUGAGGUAACGGCUCACCAAGGCAACGAUACAUAGCCGACCUGAGAGGGUGAUCGGCCACACUGGGACUGAGACACGGCCCAGACUCCUACGGGAGGCAGCAGUAGGGAAUCUUCGGCAAUGGGGGCAACCCUGACCGAGCAACGCCGCGUGAGUGAAGAAGGUUUUCGGAUCGUAAAGCUCUGUUGUAAGAGAAGAACGAGUGUGAGAGUGGAAGGUUCACACUGUGACGGUAACUUACCAGAAAGGGACGGCUAACUACGUGCCAGCAGCCGCGGUAAUACGUAGGUCCCGAGCGUUAUCCGGAUUUAUUGGGCGUAAAGCGAGCGCAGGCGGUUAGAUAAGUCUGAAGUUAAAGGCUGUGGCUUAACCAUAGUACGCUUUGGAAACUGUUUAACUUGAGUGCAGAAGGGGAGAGUGGAAUUCCAUGUGUAGCGGUGAAAUGCGUAGAUAUAUGGAGGAACACCGGUGGCGAAAGCGGCUCUCUGGUCUGUAACUGGACGCUGAGGCUCGAA
rnacentral:rRNA from 1 species